CUAACAAGGAUUCCCCUAGUAACGGCGAGUGAAGCGGGAAGAGCUCAAAUUUGUAAUCUGGCGGUCUCAGGCCGUCCGAGUUGUAGUCUGGAGAAGCGUCUUCCGUGCCGGACCGUGUACAAGUCCCUUGGAACAGGGCCUCAUAGAGGGUGAGAAUCCCGUCUUUGACACGGACUGCCGGUGCUCUGUGAUGCGCUCUCGAAGAGUCGAGUUGUUUGGGAAUGCAGCUCAAAAUGGGUGGUAAAUUCCAUCUAAAGCUAAAUAUUGGCGAAAGACCGAUAGCGAACAAGUACCGUGAGGGAAAGAUGAAAAGCACUUUGGAAAGAGAGUUAAACAGUACGUGAAAUUGUUGAAAGGGAAACGCUUGAAGUCAGUCGCGUCUUCUGGGACUCAGUCGGACACUCGUGUCUGAUGUACUUCCCAGUGUGACGGGCCAGCAUCGAUUUCGAUCGUCGGAGAAAGGCUCUGGGAAUGUGGCACCUUCGGGUGUGUUAUAGCCCUGGGUCGUAUGCGACGGUCGGGAUCGAGGAUCGCAGCACGCCUUCAUUGGCCGGGGUUCGCCCACGCAACGUGCUUAGGAUGCU
rnacentral:rRNA from 1 species